UCCAGACUCCUACGGGAGGCAGCAGUGGGGGAUAUUGCACAAUGGGGGAAACCCUGAUGCAGCGAUGCCGCGUGAGUGAAGACGGCCUUCGGGUUGUAAGGCUCUGUCGCAGAGGACGAAAAUGACGGUACUCUGCAAGAAAGCUCCGGCUAACUACGUGCCAGCAGCCGCGGUAAUACGUAGGGAGCAAGCGUUGUCCGGAUUUACUGGGUGUAAAGGGCGUGCAGCCGGGAAGACAAGUCAGAUGUGAAAUCCCGCGGCUCAACCGCGGAACUGCAUUUGAAACUGUUUUUCUUGAGUACCGGAGAGGUCAUCGGAAUUCCUUGUGUAGCGGUGAAAUGCGUAGAUAUAAGGAAGAACACCAGUGGCGAAGGCGGAUGACUGGACGGCAACUGACGGUGAGGCGCGAAAGCGUGGGGAGCAAACAGGAUUAGAUACCCCCGUAA
rnacentral:rRNA from 1 species